GGCUCGGUGGCGGAUGGUCCGCGCUUGCAUGUCUUUCGCGUCGGAAUUGAUUGUUAAGCAAGAGUUGCCCGUUCGAUUCGGGUCUGAGCCA